rnacentral:rRNA from 1 species
GGAAGUAAAAGUCGUAACAAGGUAGCCGUAGGUGAACCUGCGGAAGGAUCAUUACCUAGAGUUGUAGGCUUUGCCUGCUAUCUCUUACCCAUGUCUUUUGAGUACCUUACGUUUCCUCGGUGGGUUCGCCCACCGAUUGGACAAAUUUAAACCCUUUGCAGUUGAAAUCAGCGUCUGAAAAAACUUAAUAGUUACAACUUUCAACAACGGGUCUCUUGGUUCUGGCAUCGAUGAAGAACGCAGCGAAGUGCGAUAAGUAGUGUGAAUUGCAGAAUUCAGUGAAUCAUCGAAUCUUUGAACGCACAUUGCGCCCCUUGGUAUUCCAUGGGGCAUGCCUGUUCGAGCGUCAUUUGUACCUUCAAGCUCUGCUUGGUGUUGGGUGUUUGUCUCCUGUAGACUCGCCUUAAAACAAUUGGCAGCCGGCGUAUUGAUUUCGGAGCGCAGUACAUCUCGCGCUUUGCACUCAUAACGACGACAUCCAAAAGUACAUUUUUACACUCCUGACCUCGGAUCAGGUAGGGAUACCCGCUGAACUUAAGCAUAUCAAUAAGCGGAGGAA